rnacentral:rRNA from 1 species
AUUGAACGCUGGCGGCAGGCCUAACACAUGCAAGUCGAGCGGAUGAAGGGAGCUUGCUCCUGGAUUCAGCGGCGGACGGGUGAGUAAUGCCUAGGAAUCUGCCUGGUAGUGGGGGAUAACGUCCGGAAACGGGCGCUAAUACCGCAUACGUCCUGAGGGAGAAAGUGGGGGAUCUUCGGACCUCACGCUAUCAGAUGAGCCUAGGUCGGAUUAGCUAGUUGGUGGGGUAAAGGCCUACCAAGGCGACGAUCCGUAACUGGUCUGAGAGGAUGAUCAGUCACACUGGAACGUGAACACGGUCCAGACUCCUACGGGAGGCAGCAGUGGGGAAUAUUGGACAAUGGGCGAAAGCCUGAUCCAGCCAUGCCGCGUGUGUGAAGAAGGUCUUCGGAUUGUAAAGCACUUUAAGUUGGGAGGAAGGGCAGUAAGUUAAUACCUUGCUGUUUUGACGUUACCAACAGAAUAAGCACCGGCUAACUUCGUG